rnacentral:rRNA from 1 species
AUUGAACGCUGGCGGCAGGCCUAACACAUGCAAGUCGAGCGGAUGAAGGGAGCUUGCUCCUGGAUUCAGCGGCGGACGGGCGAGUAAUGCCUAGGAAUCUGCCUGGUAGUGGGGGAUAACGUCCGGAAACGGGCGCUAAUACCGCAUACGUCCUGAGGGAGAAAGUGGGGGAUCUUCGGACCUCACGCUAUCAGAUGAGCCUAGGUCGGAUUAGCUAGUUGGUUGGGUAAAGGCCUACCAAGGCGACGAUCCGUAACUGGUCUGAGAGGAUGAUCAGUCACACUGGAACUGAGACACGGUCCAGACUCCUACGGGAGGCAGCAGUGGGGAAUCUUGGGCAAUGGGCGAAAGCCUGAUCCAGCCAUGCCGCGUGUGUGAAGAAGGUCUUCGGAUUGUAAAGCACUGUAAGUUGGGAGGAAGGGCAGUAAGUUAAUACCUUGCUGUUUUGACGUUACCAACAGAAUAAGCACCGGCUAACUACGUG